rnacentral:rRNA from 1 species
UAAUACGAAGGGGGCUAGCGUUGUUCGGAUUUACUGGGCGUAAAGCGCACGUAGGCGGAUCUUUAAGUCAGAGGUGAAAUCCCAGGGCUCAACCCUGGAACUGCCUUUGAUACUGGGGAUCUCGAGUCCGGGAGAGGUGAGUGGAACUGCGAGUGUAGAGGUGAAAUUCGUAGAUAUUCGCAAGAACACCAGUGGCGAAGGCGGCUCACUGGCCCGGAACUGACGCUGAGGUGCGA